UGAAUCUAAGCACUGUUUUGUUUGGUU
rnacentral:sRNA from 1 species